CUCAAAGGAAGAAAUGUGAAAUUAGUUCUGAAACUACACUGACUAAUAACCAGGUCAGUUUUAUUACCUGUUUCUACCUUGAGUGCCAACAUUACAUUUAAUGUAAAAGACUAACAUAAAAGGAGAAGAUAAAUGGAAUGACCUCCACGUGGGAUGGGACCUUUGAAAGGGCAAGGCCCAGCACUCUUCCCAGCCUGGAUUAUCCCAGCAUUGGAGAGAAUAUUUAUGACUGUCGAAGUGAGGCUGAGUUCCUGGAGACGGGAUAACGCAUGGCUUUAUGCUGCCAGACAGAGAGUUCCUUCUGGUGGUCACACCAAUGUUUUUUCAUACUCCCACGGACACCACAACUUUUUUGGAUAAGGAAGAAGAUGAUGGAACACAGAUGAGGGAAAGAAAUGGCCUCAGAGAACUUGGAUACAUGGGGGUAUUUUUACCCUUUGGGGUUUUUUCUUCCUGAAUUUCAAUGAGUGGCUUAUUGGAAACUUCUUUGGGUUUGAAGUGUUUUGUUCUUGUUCCACACACACAAAACUGUUUUGGGUUGUUUUGUUUGUCUUUGUUUAUAAUGCAGCUGAGAUAGGGUGACUUGAUAUUUUUAAAAUAGAAAGCUGAUGCCUUCUGAGGGAAUGAGGGGGAACAGAGGAGAACUUCACUAGCUGGAAACAUGGGUCAUGCCAGGGACAAUUUGUUGCUGUGAAGAGUGUGUUAGAGAUGGGAGGAGGAUUGUGUAGAAGCUGGUACAGAGGGAAGAAUAAUACUUGAGUGCCUAAUACACUGACUGUUCUCCAAAUGCUGGACCCUAAUUGCUCUUCAAUGGCAGUCAUGUAUCUCCUUUCAUUUAUGAUUUUUUUUUUCCUCCUCUCUCUCUUUUAAGAGAAAUCAUUGAUUGAACUGUUCGAACCCUCAGCAUUAGCAAUUAUCAGGUACUGAAUGCCAAAUAGAUACCUCCUAUUUCAUACACUAUUGUCACAGUAUCUCCUAUCACUCCCUAAAAAUAAAACCUGGCUUAUUAUUGAGAUAACAAUGUCAAUGGGAUUACAAAUCCAAUUGUGUGAAUUAUUGCAUAGAUGAACCCUCACAAAAAUACUCUACAUUUUGUCCCUUCUCAUUUUAAUCAUUACCAGAGCACAUAAGACUGUAAAUUUAGGAGUGUGCUGUUUUGGAGCCUGUUGUUCACUGGAGUUCAAUGUGCAUGAUCUACCAAGGAGUAAUAAUAAAUAGUCAGAGAAAUAAAUUAUCAAUAAAUUGUCAGAUAUGGUAUGGAACAAGAGGAUAAUAUACCAAUGACAUGGUGUCUUCCAGGGAUUUCUGAUCAGAUUAACAGCAUGAGUCUCCACAGUAGACCUGCUUGUUUCUGCUUUAUGGUUGUUAAGAUGAACACAAAUAAAUUCAUGAGCAGCACAAGUAAGGUAUUCUGUUUUUCAGAGUGAUCACCCUUAGACUAUCUCAGUAGUUUGAAGUUAAUAUUUUCUUGGCAUUUCUACGUCUGUGAUAUAAAUAAUGUGAUAAAGUCUAUUUAAUGAUAAUCCUCUUUCCUUACAUGUUGUCAUUGCCAUUGCACAGCUGCCUCACUUUUCUCUGGUCAAACUGGACAAGGGAGCCAGAAAUUAGGAGUAGUAUUGAAAUAAACUCUUGUUCUGAAUUACAUAUUCCCAUUGGUGCUGAUGGAAUUCAAAUACAACGUCAGAUAGGCUUUGUAAGCUCCUGCUGAUGGAUUAAGAUAGAGAACGUGUCAUUGUUUUUGUAUAUCUUUUAUCACCUACUUUUGAUUUUAUUGUUCAGAAAUAAUCAACAUAGUGGGUAUUUUGAGAAGUUUAGCAAAGGUACCCUUUACACAGAUUCACUUCAAACAUCAGUAUAUACUGAGAGCUGGGAAAUAACAUUUGACAGAACAGCAUUAAGAGACAUUCUUUCUACCACUUCCUUUCUGACUGAUGUUAACAAAUGCAUGUUUUUAUGUUCCUUCCCUUGGGAAAGGGAGAACACUGAACUCG